UCUCUAAAAUUUGAACGUAAUUUCAUUUGUUCAACACGCGCAGCGACAGCGCGGGGAAUUUCAGGUUGAUUCACCAGCGAUUACUUCGAAUCAGUUUUGGUUGUGGGGAUUGUUAAAGAAGAUACAUUUUUGUGAUUGGGGGAAUUCGCCAAUUAUAUUUGUUAUUUUGCCGACUGGCUAAAUGAUGUGCUCAUGUAAGACCAUUAUGCAUUUGACCAAUUUAAGUUGCUAAUUAUGCGAGAUGCUAUUGCCUUCGAAGAGCCACGUUACAUAUUCCGUUAGGAAAUUGUAAUACUCUCUCUAAUGAAUGAAUGAAGAUCAAAAGCAAAACCUGCCUUCGUUUGUUGCAAAAAUAAAUGUCUCAAAAUGCACGAAAAACCAGUUCAAGCAGCAAUCAACCAAAAUUCAGGAAGCAUUUGAGCGACGUCAUCAACAACUCUGUUGGCUGUCUGUCUGAAAAGCGAAAGGAAACGAACGAAUCAACAUAGCCUCUUUCGCUAUGCCCCCCAACUUCAUAUCGCCCUUCUGUGCUCUAUGGAACUAGCAAUACAACUUGGACGGUGGGGUUCCUAUUUCCAACUAAUUAACCAUAAAGAUUUAUGUUAACAAAUGUCUACGAAUGCCUUUCAAAGUGCCUACUGCCAGGUGUUCCGGCCAGUUUGCGGUUAGCCACAGUUGGUCAAGCUUUAGUUGGCUAUUUAUCUGGUUAAUGGCACAGUUUUGUCUUAAAUUUUUGAUGAUUCGACAAGGUCGUUGGCCAGUAGCUCAAAGAAUAUUUAUAAUACGGCAUGAAAAUCGUAUCAAAUGGCAAAGAGCACGAAUCAAAACAAAACAAAUGAUAAAUAAAAAAUAAAUUCUGAUAAUUAAAGAAAUCAUUUAACCUCGGUAACUUUAUUACGAAAGAAAGAAGCAUG